AAGUCACUUUAUCUCACAGUGUCUCAGGGUCCACAGAGGACCACUCACGAAGUUGUUGUGAGGAUUAAUAAGAGCCUGGCAUACAGGAAGUGCUCAGUGAACAUCGUCACCAAGGCCCACCCUGCCCCGGCCUGAGUGUAGAUGGGCUCUCACCGGAGCCGCUUUCCCUUGUCUGCCGUCUUGGUGCGAUGGAGCACCCCUGCCUUGUCCAAGGUCUUGGUCUAAGAGAGAGAAGAGAGAGCAGGCGCAAGAGUGUGUAGUUAAGGGGUGAGCUAUGGGGAGUAGAGGCUGGUCACCUGCUCAGCUGCCACUCUCUAUGGUCUGGGC
rnacentral:lncRNA from 10 species